GAAGUUCAUUGACUCCCAAAUGUGUGCAAUGUCUUAUUUGUGUCCAAGAUUGGCUUAGACAAGAAACCAAGCCUAUUUGUGUUGAAGAAAGUUUGGAGUUUCUUGAAAAAAUUGAACUUGAGAUGGCAAAUAGUGGAAGAAACUCUUCCAUUGUUGAUCUAUGAUUGACUUGCAAGCGGUCCAAGGGUCAAGACAAUGAAGAAAUAAUUUUGUUGGCACGUGACUCUUGAAAGUUGAAAGUGAUCUCAUGGAAGAAAGUCAAGAAACUCAUUAUUGUUGUUUGUUAUUGUUGACAUUUGAAUUGAAAGUAAUCUCAUGGAAGAAGACAAGAAGUUUAAAAUACAUUGUUUGUUGCUUAUUAUUGUUUAUUAUGAGCUCAUGAAAGACUUUAUUGUUACUUGUUAGAUUGUUAUUAUGUUGUAUU